CGGGUGAGUAAUGUAUGGGGAUCUGCCUGAUGGCGGGGGAUAACUACUGGAAACGGUAGCUAAUACCGCAUAAUGUCGCAAGACCAAAGAGGGGGACCUUAGGGCCUCUUGCCAUCGGAUGUGCCCAGAUGGGAUUAGCUAGUAGGUGGGGUAAUGGCUUACCUAGGCGACGAUCCCUAGCUGGUCUGAGAGGAUGACCAGCCACACUGGAACUGAGACACGGUCCAG
rnacentral:rRNA from 1 species